GUCCCAGUAGCGUAAUGGAUAGCUUGUUGGACUUCUAAUCCAAAGACGAUGUGUUCGAAUACCUCCUGAGAUU